UACGUAGGGUGCGAGCGUUGUCCGGAAUUACUGGGCGUAAAGAGCUCGUAGGCGGUUUGUCGCGUCUGCUGUGAAAUCCCGAGGCUCAACCUCGGGCCUGCAGUGGGUACGGGCAGACUGGAGUGCGGUAGGGGAGAAUGGAAUUCCUGGUGUAGCGGUGGAAUGCGCAGAUAUCAGGAGGAACACCGGUGGCGAAGGCGGGUCUCUGGGCCGAUACUGACGCUGAGGAGCGAAAGCGUGGGGAGCGAACAGG
rnacentral:rRNA from 1 species